UACGGAGGGUGCAAGCGUUAAUCGGAAUUACUGGGCGUAAAGCGCGUGUAGGCGGCCAUCUAAGUCGGGCGUGAAAUCCCACGGCUCAACCGUGGAAGUGCACUCGAAACUGGAUGGCUAGAGUCCUGGAGAGGAAGGUGGAAUGCUUGGUGUAGAGGUGAAAUUCGUAGAUAUCAAGCGGAACACCGGUGGCGAAGGCGGCCUUCUGGACAGUGACUGACGCUGAGACGCGAAAGCGUGGGGAGCAAACAGGGAUUAAGAAACCCC
rnacentral:rRNA from 1 species